GUAGUACUCCCUCCAUUCAGAAUUACUUGUCAAAUAAAUGGAUGUAUCUACAACUAAAGUACAUCUAGAUACAUUCAUUUCUUGGACGAUUAAUUCUGAACGGAGGGAGUAUGUA
rfam:Triticum aestivum genome assembly, contig: Triticum_aestivum_CS42_TGACv1_scaffold_603495_7DL